UUUAAAUGUUUCAGCUUAAGAAGUAAUAGCUUAGUAUAAUCGAAAUCUUGUAGUAAAAAGUGGCUCAGAACUUCGAACACAGAAGCCUAAACACAUUUGGGGGAUAAUUUUGCUGGUAAAUAUAACUAUAAAAAUAACAAAUUUGCCGGCUUCACAAUGGUAAAGUUUAGUGCCAAUUCCUCACUCAGUAUUGUCUAAAUGUAGCCUUCUCAAUUCAAAUUCAGUUGUUCAUAUUUUACCCUCUGUACAAUUUCUUUUACAGCAACGCGAAAACGACCUGAUAUUAUCAGCAAUUGCUCGCAUGACAAGUCCCAUUCCAGCGAGUCGACAACACGACUUCUAGGGGCUCGUCUCAGACAACCAUAAAAAUCAGCCACCUGCAGAAAAUAAAUUCAUAGCUUAAGAAGACAUUGUCAAAAUUGGCAAGAGAAAGAUUAAAAAGCUUUUUAAGACACCUUGAAUGCUAUCAGGCCCUACGUCCCCAAGAUAUCCUGUACAUAUAUUGAGACGUCAGCUCCAGUUAUUUGUGUGAAACACAAAAGAAGGAGGUGGUUGCUCGAGCACUGCUAGUUCGCUUCAAACUUGUACUUUCAUGAUUUGAAAGGGUACAGACAUCUGUAAAAAUUGCUUGACGUGCCAACUGUAAGGUUAAUAAAGCAGUGGUUAUCAA